rnacentral:rRNA from 1 species
CCUACGGGCGACAGCAGUGGGGAAUAUUGCACAAUGGGGGAAACCCUGAUGCAGCGACGCCGCGUGAGUGAGGAAGUAUUUCGGUAUGUAAAGCUCUAUCAGCAGGGACGAAAAAAGACGGUACCUGACUAAGAAGCCCCGGCUAACUACGUGCCAGCAGCCGCGGUAAGACGGAGGGGGCAAGCGUGAUCCGGAUUUACGGGGUGUAAAGGGUGCGCAGGCGGGCCGUUAAGCCGGCGGUGAAAUCGCGGGGCUCAACCCCGCCGCGCCGUCGGAACUGGGGGCCUUGAGUGCGGCGGAGGCAUGCGGAAUGCGCGGUGUAGCGGUGAAAUGCAUAGAUAUCGCGCAGAACCCCGAUUGCGAAGGCAGCGUGCCGUGCCGCCACUGACGCUGAGGCACGAAAGCGCGGGGAUCGAACAGGAUUAGAUACCCCAGUAGUC